CAACGAUGACUACUGCGACUCGCGUGGCAUCAUGGGAAGGACUGCAGUGGACCUUUACCCCACAACUUGUGUCCUUGAGCAGAAUAAGAUGCUACCAGAACUUGCUGAUUAACUGCAGUCAUCUUGAGCAGUUUCCAUGCAUUCUGCUGGGAUGAAGCUGAGACGUGUUAAAUUCAAGGAUUGCUGCAGAGGAUGGGUUUAUGGCGAUCAUGGACAUCUUAUGGGUAAGCAUUCUCACAUUCACGGUUUACUUGAUCUUGUCUGAAAUGAUUAAGUCUUUACAUCUUAACUGGACGACAGUUUUGUCAUAUGGCAUUCUAGUCACCAAAGUAUGAUCAGAUCAUGUGACUUCGUAAACAAUUACUGAGCAGUAUUUGCACUUACAAUGCUUGUCGUUUGACUAGGUGUUUCAGCCUUCCUCCUGUUGGCCAUGGCACAGUGCUUUUGGUAGCACUGUCAAAUGACUGGUUACCAAAGAAGUGGCUGUUUACUUAAAAGGAUCCCUGGUUAAAGUCUUUGAUGGGUUGAGUCCUUCUAGCGGUUUUAGGUUCCAGUCAAGAUGUACACAAUGGCAAGACGCCUUGUCUGAAGUUAUCCAAACAGGACUGUAGUGGACCAAAUUGUGCAUCCGUGCAGAAAGAGAUGCUACAAGGAUUUACUGAUCGAUUGCCAUCUUCAUGUACAGAUUUCAACUGCAUGUUGCUGAAAGCCUUAAGAGGGAGAGGUGGACAAUUUUGUACUUUUCAGUGUAAUGCAAGCUCUUGCU
ensembl:processed_transcript si:dkey-23i12.5 si:dkey-23i12.5